GAUGAACGCUGGCGGCGUGCCUAAUACAUGCAAGUCGAGCGACCGGACGAUAAUCUUGCUUUUCUUAUGUUAGCGGCGGACGGGUGAGUAACACGUGUAUAACCUACCUAUAAUACUUUUAUAACUUCGUGAAACCUGAUCUAAUACCGGAUAAUAUUUUGAACCUCAUUGUUCAAAAGUUAAAUACGGUCUUUCUUUCACUUAUAGAUGUUUCCUCGCUGCAUUAGCUAGUUGGUAAGGUAACGGCUUACAAAGGCAACGAUGCAUAUCCGACCUGAGAGGGGGAUAGGAGACAAUGGAAAUGAGACACGGUAAAGACGACUACGGGAGGCAGCAGUAGGGAAUAUGACGCAAUGGGCGAAAGAAUGACGGAGCAACGCCGCGUGAGUGAUGAAGGUCUUCGGAUCGUAAAACUCUGUUAUUAGGGAAGAACAUAUGUGUAAGUAACUGUGCACAUCUUGACGGUAACUAAUCAGAAAGCCACGGCUAACUACGUG
rnacentral:rRNA from 1 species